rnacentral:rRNA from 1 species
GAUGAACGCUAGCGACAGGCUUAACACAUGCAAGUCGAGGGGCAGCGGGGGAGUAGCAAUACUCCCGCCGGCGACCGGCGCACGGGUGAGUAACACGUAUGAAACCUGCCCGUAGCAGGGGGAUAAGCGGAAGAAAUUCCGUCUAAUACCGCGUAACAACCCAUGGAGGCAUCUCCGUGGGUUUAAAGGAAGCGAUUCCGGCUACGGAUGGUCAUGCGUCGCAUUAGCUUGUUGGCGGGGUAACGGCCCACCAAGGCGACGAUGUCUAGGGGUUCUGAGAGGAAGGUCCCCCACACUGGUACUGAGACACGGACCAG